CCUACGGGAGGCUGCAGUGGGGGAUAUUGCACAAUGGGGGAAACCCUGAUGCAGCGACGCCGCGUGUGGGAAGACGGUCCUCUGGAUUGUAAACCACUGUCCCCAGGGACGAAGAUGACGGUACCUGGGGAGGAAGCUCCGGCUAACUACGUGCCAGCAGCCGCGGUAAUACGUAGGGAGCAAGCGUUGUCCGGAAUUACGGGGUGUAAAGGGAGCGUAGGCGGGAUGGCAAGUUGGGUGUUAAAGCUACCGGCUAAACUGGUAGUCGCACUCAAAACUGCUAUUCUUGAGUGAAGUAGAGGCAGGCGGAAGUCCUAGUGUAGCGGUGAAAUGCGUAGAUAUUAGGAGGAACACCAGUGGCGAAGGCGGCCUGCUGGGCUUUUACUGACGCUGAGGCUCGAAAGUGUGGGGAGCAAACAGGAUUAGAUACCCUGGUAGUC
rnacentral:rRNA from 1 species